rnacentral:rRNA from 1 species
UACAGAGGGUGCAAGCGUUGUUCGGAAUCACUGGGCGUAAAGGGUGCGUAGGCGGGUCUUUAAGUCAGGGGUGAAAUCCUGGAGCUCAACUCCAGAACUGCCUUUGAUACUGAGGAUCUUGAGUUCGGGAGAGGUGAGUGGAACUGCGAGUGUAGAGGUGAAAUUCGUAGAUAUUCGCAAGAACACCAGUGGCGAAGGCGGCUCACUGGCCCGAUACUGACGCUGAGGCACGAAAGCGUGGGGAGCAAACAGG